UACGGGGGGAGCAAGCGUUGUUCGGAUUUACUGGGCGUAAAGGGCGCGUAGGCGGCGCGGUAUGUCACCUGUGAAAUCUCCUGGCUCAACUGGGAGCUUGCAGGCGAAACUGCCGUGCUGGAGUGUGGGAGAGGUGCGUGGAAUUCCUGGUGUAGCGGUGAGAUGCGUAGAUAUCAGGAGGAACACCUGUGGCGAAAGCGGCGCACUGGACCACAACUGACGCUGAGGCGCGAAAGCUAGGGGAGCAAACAGG
rnacentral:rRNA from 1 species